ensembl:antisense Gm6288 predicted gene 6288
AAGAGGAGGCCAGCUGAGCCUCAUCUGAAGAGAGACCUGACCUGUGAAGUGGAUUGACCUGAUAUACACUGGCCUGACCAUCCUCAAAAACUACAUCAUGUCUUUAUCUUUUGUCCUGAGCCAAAACAAACUAUUCAACAGAUAUUCCUCCUAACAGAGAUUCAGCUGGCUAGGCCACAAGAAGAACCUCCUAGUUGAGUGAUUCUCAGGUAAUUGACUCUGCUAUAGAUUGGCUUCGACUUAACGCUUUUCCUGACCUUUCUCAAGAUCUACCUCCUAGUAAAGGUUCUCAAUCUCUCUUAGUGACAGGCCCAUAAAACCACCUACCAAAUCUGAAUUUUUCUUCUGUCCAGAACUCGAAUCUACCACGAGAAGAGCCUUUGCCUCUUACAAACAACCAAAAUGUGAGAACUGAAUAAAGCACCCGGCACUAUGACAUGCUCAAGAAAUGUUUGACGUGAUGUCUGGACCUAUCGGCUUAGCGGAACUCUCAAGUUCCUGAACGUGCCCAAGCUGAAAGCUUCUCUAAACCACUGGAUUUUAAAGAUCUUCAGCGCUAGGACUGUAGCACUUGUAAUCAACUCUCUCAUAGCAGUUCGUUCAUAUUCCACUAAAAACAGUUGUUUUUUAGCUGUUCCACAUCCUUACAGCAAAGCUGUCAGUCAACAUCUUUUCCUGAAGGGAAUAUGCCAUACACUUGGUGGCACCUCACUUUGUCUCCACACACUAGUCAUCCAUCUAAAGACACUAGCAUGGAGUUACCAAGUUCUGCUUAUGACCAUGGUGGCCCAGAUGCUGCUGGAGUUAUCCGCAGAAAUGGCAAGGAUCACAACAAAAUAUCCAAUUUUGGCCCAGCAGAGAGGAAACUUUUACCAACCGAUGGCCGCCCGAUGACCUGAAUGGAAAGAAUUGGUGGCCCCGGGAGAGCACACAAUUGAGAGAAGUGAUCACAUCACCAGAUGUGACGUCACAGUUUGGCACCAGCUGCCAUCCUGGGCACAGAGAAUGCACAGUCCACUCAAGUCUGAGCUUCCUCUCUGGAUUCCCCUGGGGUUCAGUACAGAGCACUGUACAGUGGUGUAACCUCUAUACUGGACUGAUGGAAAAACUAAGUUUGCUUAUAUGGUAUAUUACAUUGACUGGGUUUUGUAUGUUGGAUUAUUUCUGCAUCUCUGGGAUUAAUUCUACUUGGUGGAUGAUCUUUUUGAUAUGUUCUUAGAUUCUGUAUGAAACAUGAUAGAACACUUGAGAACCAGUAAUAACUUCACUGAAGAAAUAAAAAGUACAGACUCCUUAGCACUCCCAAACAUCCUGGCAUUAACUUCAGUGGCUCUGAUGGGACCUCCCCUCCUUCAUGCACUGCUGGAUUUUCCUCAACUUGGUUGGCAGUUGACAGAACCCAGAGGUUGAAUUGUGAAGCAAAUUUUCUACUUAUGACACAUCCUUUUGUGACUAUGUUUCCAAUCAAUCAGAUUGGGCAUUUUGGGUUGUCUUGACUUCAUCUGUUAUUUUAAACUUAAUAACAUUGUCAGUGUCAGGGUUAACUUUUGUUCAAUAAAAACGUUUAACUGCAUAUUCUACCUACUUAGC